AUGAGUACCUGUAAAAAGGCCAGGGCGGAAGGUAUAUGUGUUGUGAGUUUAGAUAGACUGAGCAGCCUACCGCCAGAGAUAAAGGGCAACAUCCUCUCCCUUUUGAAUGUCGAAGAAGCAGUUAGGACUUGCACCUUAUCAAGUACCUGGAGGGAUGCAUGGGCUAAUAUGCCAAAAAUAUCUCUGCGCGAUGGAAAUUUUGCACGAACCAAGUUCGUUACGUUGGUCGAUAUGGUGCUAUCACUCCACAAAGGAACUAUAGAAGGGUGUCAUAUUUCAGGUAGCAAAAAUUACCAUGAUGAGUUCGGUAGGUGGAUGCUCAUGCUGUCAAGAAGAUCACCAAGAUCAGUUAUAAUCAAGUUGAACUCAGGGCCAAUGUAUAGGAUUCCCUCAUGCCUCUUUUCUCUCGGCGAUCUGAAGUCUCUGCGACUGAAAAACUGCAUUAUCAGUUUGCCCCGGGUAUUCCAAGGUUUCAAGAGCCUAACUUACCUCAGCCUGAGCUUUUUCUCCUCCACAGACAGGGAUAUCCAAAAUCUGAUCUCCUUUUGUCCUGAACUGACUUAUUUGAGAUUAACUUCUUUUGAGGGCAUCAAAUGUCUAAACAUUCAAUCUCCUACGCUGGAAGAUCUUCUUGUUGAUGGGUACUUUGAAGACAUUAAUUUGGAUGCCCCUAAUCUGGAGGAGGCCAUUCUCUCUCUUGAUCUCAAAGCUAAAUCAUAUCAACUUGUUCCAAUUACGCAUGACAAGGAAAGCCAUAUCAAGCAGUCAUUGGGAAGCCUGAGUGACAUCGAAAUGCUUUUAGUUAGUGGUUUUUUCAUGAAGUAUCUAUCAAUGGGGUGCAUAGUUACGAAGCUCCCUGUCGUGUUUACUCGCCUAGAGGAUAUUUAUCUUGUGAUAUGCCUUUCGGACCAGAGGCAAGUCUUGACCGCGUGUUCCUUAUUUCAGAAUGCCCCCAACUUGAAGAACCUUGGGAUGUUGAGUUACCCUUCGAGAACAUGGGAUGAGGAUAAGGCUAGCAUUCAAGAGCUUACCCUGCAAAUGCAAAUGGACCAUCUCGUAACAGCUAGUGUGAAAGAAUUUAGGGGUCGGGACUACAAAGUCGAUUUCGUGGCAAAGCUACUGACCUGGGCACCUGCUUUGGAAGAAGUGAAAUUAGAGUGGAAGGGUCAAAUAGACCGUAGCAUGGUUCUUACCAAGCUAUUAGCUCUGCCGAGAGUGUCUCCCAGGGCCAAGGUCAUUGUUACAUGA
rnacentral:rRNA from 1 species